rnacentral:rRNA from 1 species
GACGAACGCUGGCGGCGUGCUUAACACAUGCAAGUCGAACGGAAAGGCCCUGCUUUUUUGGGGUGCUCGAGUGGCGAACGGGUGAGUAACACGUGAGUAACCUGCCCUUGACUUUGGGAUAACUUCAGGAAACUGGGGCUAAUACCGGAUAGGAGCUCCUGCUGCAUGGUGGGGGUUGGAAAGUUUCGGCGGUUGGGGAUGGACUCGCGGCUUAUCAGCUUGUUGGUGGGGUAGUGGCUUACCAAGGCUUUGACGGGUAGCCGGCCUGAGAGGGUGACCGGCCACAUUGGGACUGAGAUACGGCCCAGACUCCUACGGGAGGCAGCAGUGGGGAAUAUUGCACAAUGGGCGGAAGCCUGAUGCAGCAACGCCGCGUGCGGGAUGACGGCCUUCGGGUUGUGAACCGCUUUCGCCUGUGACGAAGCGUGAGUGACGGUAAUGGGUAAAGAAGCACCGGCUAACUACGUG